AAUCAACGCUGGCGGCGUGCCUAACACAUGCAAGUCGAGCGGGAAAAGGGGCUUCGGUCCCUGAGUAUAGCGGCGGACGGGUGAGUAACACGUGGGUAAUUUGCCCUUGGGUGUGGAAUAACUCAGGGAAACUUGAGCUAAUACCGCAUGACAUCCUCGUCGCACACGAGUCGAGGAUCAAAGCCGGGGACCCUUCGGGGCCUGGCGCCUGAGGAGAAGCCCGCGCCCGAUUAGCUAGNGGUGAGGUAAUGGCUCACCAAGGCUUCGAUCGGUAGCCGGCCUGAGAGGGCGGACGGCCACACUGGGACUGAGACACGGCCCAGACUCCUACGGGAGGCAGCA
rnacentral:rRNA from 1 species